ensembl:lncRNA
CCUCCUCUUACAUAACGCUGAAAACGCACAUGGCCCCCGGGCAGCAGCCCAGCCUCCAACCCAUUAUGGUGAUUGUCCGCCCGGGGACUCCCUCAGCGUGACUCGCCCGCUCGACCCCUGUCAAACAGAGACUACUUAGCGCGCUGCACUUUCCACAUCAAGUUGGAAUGUCCUCCUGCUCUUGAUUCUCGUUCUCUCUGUGGAAUCGCAGCUCUCCAGAACCGCUGAACCUCUCAACGCGUCUAUGGUCGGUGGGAUUCAGACGCAGCACACUUGGACCGAUGCCAGGGCUCGCUGGGCUUGAUGGAGGCUGGGUGGAGGCUGGAUGGAGGCUGGGCGGAGGCUGGGCGGAGGUGCUGUCCUUGGUCCUGCUCACGUUCUCAUCCUGCAUUAGAGACAGACAUUGAAUGAAACACAGUGUUUUUGUGUUAUUUGCAUUUUUUUCCAACUGCAAGGUGUUCUCAAGGUUCGAGGUGCACCGAUACAAUGGAUGAAGACCAGAAGUGGAUGUAGAGACGGCGGCAUCGCUGGAGAGUUGCCUAAUUAACUACCGCUACGACCGCCUCAGAAGAACAGCCAGACAUCGGAGAUGAGCUGAAUGUACGGAUUCUGCCCGGUCUUGUCAGUCUUGACUUUUU